UUAAGGGAAUGCACACUGUCACCAGGCUG
rnacentral:piRNA from 1 species